rnacentral:rRNA from 1 species
GAUGAACGCUGGCGGCGUGCCUAAUACAUGCAAGUCGAGCGAAUGGAUUAAGAGCUUGCUCUUAUGAAGUUAGCGGCGGACGGGUGAGUAACACGUGGGUAACCUGCCCAUAAGACUGGGAUAACUCCGGGAAACCGGGGCUAAUACCGGAUAAUAUUUUGAACUGCAUGGUUCAAAAUUGAAAGGCGGCUUCGGCUGUCACUUAUGGAUGGACCCGCGUCGCAUUAGCUAGUUGGUGAGGUAGCGGCUCACCAAGGCAACGAUGCGUAGCCGACCUUAGAGGGUGAUCGGCCACACGUGGACUGAAACACGGCCCAGACUCCGACGGGAGGCAGCAGUAGGGAAUCUUCCGCAAUGGACGAAAGUCUGACGGAGCAACGCCGCGUGAGUGAUGAAGGCUUUCGGGUCGUAAAACUCUGUUGUUAGGGAAGAACAAGUGCUAGUUGAAUAAGCUGACACCUUGACGGUACCUAACCAGAAAGCCACGGCUAACUACGUGCCAGCCGCCGCCGUAA